ACGUGAGAUUUGGGUUUCAUUCGAAGAAGCGCAAGCCGAACAAGGAAGCAUUCAUUGGUGCCAUUUUGAUUUUGUCGUUUGCGCGUUGUCUCGAUCGUUUUGUGUGUUUGUGUGAGACUAACGUGUGUAUUGAUAUGGAACGAAAUAAAUUCCAGUUUGAUUACCACUUGAUUCUUGUAGCUUUUGGUGAAAGGACAAAAUAUGAAGAAGCGACAGAUGCCGAAAUAAUACACAGUGUUACCCAUACGGAUAUGGUUUGAUGACUUCAGAUGGUGGACGGAAUAAAAAGAUUGCCAGUAGCCAACGACAAUAUCCGUUUCAAUUAUCUGCAGAUCCUGAUGACGAAGAUAAAGAAUUCGUGUAUAUUGAUACAUAUUUUAAUGUAGUUAAUGAAAAAUGAAUAAAUUUUUUUAACUGA